AGCAGUCGUUGCACGGAUCCUCCUUCAACCCGAAUUCUCGUCUCAGUUUGGUUCGGUAGCAGCAUGAAUAGAGGCAUGCGCACGAAGUCAGCAAGUAGAUCAGCGUGUAGAUUGCGCAGUUCAUGACGCAAGCUGCAAUCCAAGGUCGGAUAAGUAAGCGCGAAUAUGUAAUUAGACUUUGUUAGUUUUCCAGUUAUUAAUUAGCCUUUCCUACAGGGAAAACUAAUCAGCAGUGGACUAAGUAGUCGUUACACGGAUCCUCCUACAACCCGAAUUCUUGUCUCAGUUUGGUUCAGUAGUAGCAUGAAUAGAGGUAUGCGCACGAAGCUAGCAAGUAGAUCAGCGUGUAGAUUGCGCAGUUCAUGACGCAAGCUGCAAUCCAAGGUCGGAUAAGUAAGCGCGAAUAUGUAAUUAGACUUUGUUAGUUUUCCAGUUAUUAAUUAGCCUUUCCUACGGGGGAAAACUACUCUCCUAUGUUUUCUGCAUAGGUUGUCAAAUCCAGAAUCGGGAUAAGUCCAUAAAAUUCGACAUCACAUGUCCACGGUUGAACUCUAAUUAACUGGGCUCUGCUUGCUCUGUGGACUGUAAUUUAAGUUCUUCUUGCGCAGGCUUGAUUUGUGACCCGAUAUUAUUACAGUUUGUCCCGAACAUUAUCAUUAGACGAAACUCCACCUAUACCAAGGACUUAUUCGAAAAAUAACUGUGUACCUAAAGUAUAAUCCGAGUGCAAAAUGGCAAUAGUAUGAAGCGAUCCUCAGACAUAUUUGCGGACACAUAUACAGAAG
rnacentral:lncRNA from 1 species